UUACGGCCAUAUUACAUUAAAACAUCAGUUCCCGUACGAUCACUGAAGUUAAAAAAAACGUCGAGCCUGGUUAGUAACUAGAUGGGUGACCGCUUGGAAACACCAGUUUCUGCAAG